rnacentral:rRNA from 1 species
GGUUCAGGAUGAACGCUAGCUACAGGCUUAACACAUGCAAGUCGAGGGGCAGCAUUGAGAUAGCUUGCUAUUCAGAUGGCGACCGGCGCACGGGUGAGUAACGCGUAUCCAACCUUCCCUAUAGUAGAGGAUAGCCCGGCGAAAGUCGGAUUAAUACUCUAUGUUUUCCAAUGCAGACAUCUAAAAUGGAACAAAGGUUUACCGCUAUAGGAUGGGGAUGCGUCUGAUUAGAUAGUAGGCGGGGUAACGGCCCACCUAGUCUUCGAUCAGUAGGGGUUCUGAGAGGAAGGUCCCCCACAUUGGAACUGAGACACGGUCCAAACUCCUACGGGAGGCAGCAGUGAGGAAUAUUGGUCAAUGGGCGAGAGCCUGAACCAGCCAAGUAGCGUGCCAGGAUGACGGCCCUAUGGGUUGUAAACUGCUUUUAUAUAGGGAUAAAGUGCACUACGCGUAGUGUUUUGUAGGUACUAUAUGAAUAAGGACCGGCUAAUUCCGUGCCAGCCGCCGC